GACGAACGCUGGCGGCGUGCCUAAUACAUGCAAGUCGAGCGAGUCUGCCUUGAAGAUCGGAGUGCUUGCACUCUGUGAAACAAGAUACAGGCUAGCGGCGGACGGGUGAGUAACACGUGGGUAACCUGCCCAAGAGAUCGGGAUAACACCUGGAAACAGAUGCUAAUACCGGAUAACAACAGAUGAUGCCUAUCAACUGUUUAAAAGAUGGUUCUGCUAUCACUCUUGGAUGGACCUGCGGUGCAUUAGCUAGUUGGUAGGGUAACGGCCUACCAAGGCGAUGAUGCAUAGCCGAGUUGAGAGACUGAUCGGCCACAUUGGGACUGAGACACGGCCCAAACUCCUAAGGGAGGCAGCAGUAGGGAAUCUUCCACAAUGGACGCAAGUCUGAUGGAGCAACGCCGCGUGAGUGAAGAAGGGGUUCGGCUCGUAAAGCUCUGUUGUUGGUGAAGAAGGACAGGGGUAGUAACUGACCUUUGUUUGACGGUAAUCAAUGAGAAAGUCACGGCUAACUACGUG
rnacentral:rRNA from 1 species